UACGGGGGGGGCAAGCGUUGUUCGGAAUUACUGGGCGUAAAGGGCUCGUAGGCGGCCAACUAAGUCAGACGUGAAAUCCCUAGGCUCAACCUAGGAACUGCGUCUGAUACUGGAUGGCUUGAGUUUGGGAGAGGGAUGCGGAAUUCCAGGUGUAGCGGUGAAAUGCGUAGAUAUCUGGAGGAACACCGGUGGCGAAGGCGGCAUCCUGGACCAAUACUGACACUGAGGAGCGAAAGCCAGGGGAGCAAACGGG
rnacentral:rRNA from 1 species